AGAAUGAACGCUGGCGGCAUGCCUAACACAUGCAAGUCGAACGAUGCUUUCGGGCAUAGUGGCGCACGGGUGCGUAACGCGUGGGAAUCUGCCCUUGGGUUCGGAAUAACAGUUGGAAACGACUGCUAAUACCGGAUGAUGACGUAAGUCCAAAGAUUUAUCGCCCAGGGAUGAGCCCGCGUAGGAUUAGCUAGUUGGUGUGGUAAAGGCGCACCAAGGCGACGAUCCUUAGCUGGUCUGAGAGGAUGAUCAGCCACACUGGGACUGAGACACGGCCCAGACUCCUACGGGAGGCAGCAGUGGGGAAUAUUGGACAAUGGGCGAAAGCCUGAUCCAGCAAUGCCGCGUGAGUGAUGAAGGCCUUAGGGUUGUAAAGCUCUUUACCCGGGAUGAUAAUGACAGUACCGGGAGAAUAAGCUCCGGCUAACUCCGUGCCAGCAGCCGC
rnacentral:rRNA from 1 species